rnacentral:rRNA from 1 species
CGCCAGACUCCUACGGGAGGCAGCAGUGGGGAAUAUUGCACAAUGGGGGAAACCCUGAUGCAGCGACGCCGCGUGAGUGAAGAAGUAUUUCGGUAUGUAAAGCUCUAUCAGCAGGGAAGAAAAUGACGGUACCUGACUAAGAAGCCCCGGCUAACUACGUGCCAGCAGCCGCGGUAAUACGUAGGGGGCAAGCGUUAUCCGGAUUUACUGGGUGUAAAGGGAGCGUAGACGGCAUGGCAAGUCAGAUGUGAAAGCCCGGGGCUCAACCCCGGGACUGCAUUUGAAACUGUCAGGCUGGAGUGCAGGAGAGGUAAGUGGAAUUCCUAGUGUAGCGGUGAAAUGCGUAGAUAUUAGGAGGAACACCAGUGGCGAAGGCGGCUUACUGGACUGUAACUGACGUCGAGGCUCGAAAGCGUGGGGAGCAAACAGGAUUAGAUACCCGGGUAUC